rnacentral:piRNA from 1 species
ACCCAAUAUGCAUAAAACAAAUCCGAG